CCCUGGUAGUGAUAGGUUGGUUGUGGUGUUCAGUUGCUUCACCUGUUGUUCCUAGGUUGUCAGUAGUAACCACCAAGACAGCACCGCCAUCAUGCCGCCAGCCAAGUUGAGACACAUGACGAGCAACUUCCAAGGUCCCGGCAACAAGGCUCGCUGCCGCAACUUUGCCAAGGUCCUCCUGACUAACUUCAUACUCUUCCUGAUGGUCACCUUGUAUUCCGUCUUCGGUGAGUAUAAUGGUAAUUGUAAUGGCGGCAGUUAUAGAGGUAAGUAGGU